rnacentral:rRNA from 1 species
CACGUAAGGUGCGAGCGUUGUUCGGAAUCAUUGGGCGUAAAGGGCAUGUAGGCGGCAUGGUAAGUCGGGCGUGAAAUGACGGGGCCCAACCCCGUCGCUGCGCCCGAUACUGCCGUGCUUGAGUCAGCGAGGCGGAGGCGGAAUUCCUGGUGUAGGGGUGAAAUCUGUAGAUAUCAGGAAGAACACCGGUGGCGAAGGCAGCCUUCGAGCGCAUGACUGACGCUGAGGUGCGAAGGUGCGGGGAGCGAAC